rnacentral:rRNA from 1 species
UACGUAGGGUGCAAGCGUUAAUCGGAAUUACUGGGCGUAAAGCGUGCGCAGGCGGUUUUGUAAGUCUGUCGUGAAAUCCCCGGGCUUAACCUGGGAAUUGCAUUUGUGACUGCACGGCUAGAGUGUGUCAGAGGGGGGUAGAAUUCCACGUGUAGCAGUGAAAUGCGUAGAUAUGUGGAGGAAUACCGAUGGCGAAGGCAGCCCCCUGGGAUAACACUGACGCUGAGGCACGAAAGCGUGGGGAGCAAACAGG